rnacentral:rRNA from 1 species
AAUAGAUACCCGGGUAGUCCACGCCGUAAACGAUGAGUGCUAAGUGUUAGAGGGUUUCCGCCCUUUAGUGCUGCAGCUAACGCAUUAAGCACUCCGCCUGGGGAGUACGGUCGCAAGACUGAAACUCAAAGGAAUUGACGGGGGCCCGCACAAGCGGUGGAGCAUGUGGUUUAAUUCGAAGCAACGCGAAGAACCUUACCAGGUCUUGACAUCCCACUGACCGGUAUAGAGAUAUACCUUUCCCUUCGGAGACAGUGGUGACAGGUGGUGCAUGGUUGUCGUCAGCUCGUGUCGUGAGAUGUUGGGUUAAGUCCCGCAACGAGCGCAACCCUUGAUCUUAGUUGCCAGCAUUUAGUUGGGCACUCUAAGGUGACUGCCGGUGACAAACCGGAGGAAGGUGGGGAUGACGUCAAAUCAUCAUGCCCCUUAUGACCUGGGCUACACACGUGCUACAAUGGAUGGUACAAAGGGCUGCAAGACUGCGAAGUCAAGCCAAUCCCAUAAAACCAUUCUCAGUUCGGAUUGCAGG